GCAUCCGGCGACGAUGGGCGGCUGCUGGGCAGCUGAGGACCUCUGUAUUGCGGGCCCGGUGGCUGGCCAAGCUCCACCUCCUCCAUCCCUGCUCGACGACCUCGUCCUGAGCACAACGGAGCACAGGUUUUUAUCGUUGCAGCGGCUCAUCGUCUUUCUCCCGCAGCCAGCCCGUCCCUCUGCAUCCCCCUUUGAUUAGAUUAACAGGAAGCACAUACACUUGAUCUCAGGUCUCUCUCAGUUUACUCCUUAUGCCCUUAUUCCUGCAACUUUGUUUGAUUGGCAUGUUAUUACCUACAGAAUGUUUCAGAGAUUUCCCCUUUGGUUAGAUUAACAGGAAGCACAUACACUUGAUCGCAGGUCUCUCUCAGUUUACUCCUUAUGCCCUUAUUCCUGCAACUUUAUUUGAUUGGUAUGUUAUUACCUAGAGAAUGUUUCAGAGAUUUCAGUAAUGUUUACCUAAAUAGGAGCACUUGACUAUGGAUUUGGAUGGUGGGAUUAGUAAGAUUUAUAGAUAUAUUAGGUUAUAAUUAGGUCUGGUUAUACUAAUUUAGCAGAUUGUUUAGCUUAUAUGUGUAUGGAUUUGGAUGAUAGUGGAUCCCCGCAGUUGUUUUAUUCGCAGGGCAUGCUUUGUGUCAUAUUUGCAGUUGUUUUAUUCGUAGGGCAUGCUUUGUGUCAUAUUUGUGUCGUGCAGAUAGAUGGGCAUGUAAAGACCAUUUGGAUGUUGGUCAUCCCUGCAAUACAACAGCAAGGUUGAGUUAAUCAAGGCAAGAGAAUGGUAGUUUUUUCAAGUGUUACCGUGUAUGCUCGCAUAAUUUUAUUCUACGCUUAUGAAUCGUCAUCUGCUCCACAUAUGACUCCCUAGAUGCUCAGUUUUGUUAUCGGUAUUGGGUCUGUGGAAGAGGGUGUCCACGAGCAUGAUCAAGAAUUCAAGAUGUUCUUUAUAUCAACGAUAAAGGCCCCUAUAUAUUUCAUAAUUUCAGUAUGUCCCCUCCGUAUGUAUUUCUAUCACAUGAGCAGUUCAGUGGGUAUGAAUGUCUCUUCUCAGUUUAUUUCUUGGAUUUUUACUUGCACAUCAGAUAGUCACAACCAUAUUUUAAUGUCUGCAUAUACAUGUCAUUCUGUCUUGGUGCUGUUUUUUGGUUUAUUCAUAGCCAUAUGAAUUUUCUGCUUGCAAAUCCAGUUGUCCGUUAUUUCUAUCUUUAGACGAUGCAAGACGAUCAGGUGAUAGAUGCCAUCGAUUUUAAGCUCAUGACUGAAACCUCCUCCAGGACAAUCUACCUUCUCUGUAUUCCUUUUUUUUUGUUGAAUACAUUGUUGCUUAAUCGUUUUUUAGGGUCAUGGUGUGGAGCUUGCAGCUGAUGUGUUCGACAUGUACAAUAGAUACUCUGCCUACUGUAUUUUAUUUUGUGUUCCAGGCUGCAAAUUAGCCUACACCUUGCACAGCAAGAACAUUUUAAUAUAUGCAAUUUUUUAGUUGUGCUUUUGUGAUUUCUUUGAAACUGAAACUAAUUUGCAUUUAUAUCUUAUUAAGUUAUGGUAACCAGCCAUUUCUUGCAUUAUAUUGUUACUCAUCAUUUGCCUUGUGUGCGACUUGUUCACAGUGAUGCUAUGUUAUAUUUCUCCUAUUUAAAGUACAAAACAAUGCGUUGAAAUAUAUGCCAUUACUCUCUGUUGUUAUCACUUGUCCUGUUAGCCUUUCUUUUAUUUUGUGAUUGUUCACUCAUCCAUAUAAUAGUUUAGUCCUUACAUGAUUCCUGUUUCGCUCAGGUCCCUAACAAAGAAUAAGUGGAAGAAAACAUUUAAAAGCACCUUAGGUAAUAUUGAGGCUAAUUCAUAUGGUCAGGUGAUUGUCCUCCCUCCGCUGCCGGCCGUGCAUAGCGCGCUGGACUCCAUACGAAUACAUUAAUCAUGCAAUUUAUGAUUUAAUCUUGAAGAAGAGAGGAUGAUUCUACACAGUAGUCACUGGGGUGAAUAGCAUCAUGUAGAUGUGUUGAUACAUAUUUUUUUUACAAUUUACACCGAAGAUUAGGUACUGAUUAGAUAAUUGAUUUGUAAUCUGGAUAGACACAAAUGGUGUUGUGCUAAAACAAAUAAACAAAAUUUUAAUUAUUCAAUUGUAACAUUGCAUUGAAUUCUUCCUUUCAGGGUUCCCCUACUCAGUAGGUGGCAAAGAAAGAUCAACUAUUCAUUGGAACCUAUUUCAAAAGCAUCUGCUUCAGCAGGACACUGUAUAUUUGGAGUUAGAGGAGUACAAAAUUAAGAUGGUAAUUAAUACCAAGUUUGUCAGGCAAACCAGAUCACGGAUGAGCAGUUCUAUUUGCCAAAGUCAGGGGCAGACACUUGCUAAGGUUGGUGUCUACCAAAGCCAGGGUUCGCACAUGGGCAGUUCUAUGUUGCCAUCUCAAGAGUGAUAUCUAGGAAAGGAUUGAAAGUACUUGCACAUGAAUCCGGGGUGCCAACCAUAGAAACAAGGAAUAUAGUAUAUAGAGAAGUCGUUGGUCAUCUCUAAGUAUGUUAGCUCACAUGUAGUUUUCUGCAUUUUUCUAUGCAUGCAUCCUCUGUAUUUGAUUGAUUAAGUGAUGUCUUCCAUCGUUUCUUUUUGCUCGAGUUCACUUUCUACUGAAUACACAAGGUUCCAUUCUGUCAUUCUUACAUUGGAGUUUUUGGUGGCAAGUGACUUAGUAUUGCUGAUCCUGGGUGCAAGUGUCGCCCAGUAGUGUCUGGUGGACCUUUUGUGAUCAUGUGUUCUGUUUGUAUGAAUACUAUUGAGUUGUUUCAAGUGCGACGUUUAGGUUUAAACAUGUUGGUUUGGUUCAUGCUGAUGCUAUCCUACAUGGAACACUUACUACUGUGGAUCAGGAUCAUAUGCGAGUAAUCAGCUCAAAAUUUCUACAGCUGCCGGUUCUGGUUUUUCAGUAUCUGAACUAAUAGGGGAUGGUUCACUUGCACACACAAUGUAUUUAGUCUAGAUGAAUGAGCCGUGUACUCAGUUCCCUAUUCCCUGUAAAUGUUGUAUGUCAAGGUAUCUCACCUCAUCCAGACAAAAACCUUGAGCCAUACGUUGUAUUGGGAGUUGGAAGGAAUUGCAUAUGAGACUACAUACAUGUGCUGCCUAACUGGCGUGGAUUUUGCUGUUGUCAUGAUCCGGAUGUCGCCACCACUAACUGGACAUCUGGAUAUCUGGCCGUUAGCAGAUUUGUUGUCUUCAGAUACGGCUAAAUGAGAUUUCGUGACUACUUGACUUGGUUUUUUGUUCAUAGUUAUUUACCUUGGUGCUAAAAUUCACAACGGCCUUAUUAUUCAAUGAAAUACGACAAGGAGCAGAGGGGCGGGUUCAAUGCCCACUUCCAUUUAGUGAAACACAGGUACUGGAUGUUCUCUGCUUUGUUUUUCCAUAUAUUUAUGGUUACCCAUGUAUUGUUGGUUCUUCAAUUUCCUUAUUAGGCAAGAUAUUGUCAUCAGUGCAUACAUUAACUUAGAACAUCAUGUUCAAGCUUAGCACCUGCGAAUUUAGACAUGCUAUCAAGAUUAUUUGAUGUAAUUUUAUUGGUUUUCUCUAGCACAAAUGAUAAUCCGCCACUUAGACAAUUUACUACUUUUUCGUCAUAUAUUGCACGCUUUCCUUAUUCCCAAGUGAGACUACCUUGCGGACUCUUCUUUUCCUAUUCUUGCACUCCAUUGAUAUUUUGUUAUUAUGAAUUUUAUAUUGGUAGACAAAUUACUUAGUUAUUAAAUUUGAUGUAGGCUAAUUUUGAACUUAAAAUUUAAUAUAUCAGCAGCAUAAGUUGAUAUAUUUGUUACUUGCAUUUCUUCUAAAUCCUAAUGUUUAUGCGGCGACGGUAAUCUGCUCUUGCUUGUGCGCUAUAGUUUUCAUUUUUUUAAUCUAUUCAUAGAGAUUGUUCGUGGAUUUUUUUUGUGUAUGCUUAAAUCCCGUACGAGGUGGUUUGAUCCCACCAAGAUUCUUUAGUUCGGAACCACGCCAAAAUUUAACAGCAUGGACAUUCCAAAUACUGUAGAAUGAACAACUGGAUUCUUUAUGGGAAUUUGAUAUACAGCCCCAGCAGUGUUUGUACAUGUCCAUUCGCUAACCCAUAUUCUAUUUGAGCUAUUUUUAGGCAUACAUAGCCCUCAAAGGAGUCUAAUAUCGAGACAUGAGCCAAGAAGAAUAAAAUCUAACUUAUCAUCUCCGUAUGGGGUUGGUGCCAGACAACCCUUUCAGCUGGCCUAUUUAUCUUUUGUUUGUUUCAGGCUCCACGUGAUACCAACAUCUGAUUCAAGCUUUGCUUCUUUUUAGGGGUCUUACCUCUUAGGGUUGUAAAGUUCUUUCUUCUGUGUUCUUCACAUUCCAUAGACUACAAAAAAAUAUGUGUUACACCUUUUAUGGUCGUUUGGCACAUCUGAAGUGGAGACCGGUGAAACAUCUAUAUCCAUUUGUUCCUGUUAUGUGUGAUAUAUAAACCCUACAUUAUCUACAUCGACUUGUAUGCCUAACAUAGUGACUUACAAGGUGCUAAAGUAGCUGAAAUUAAAUUCGGUUCCCGGGUGCAUAUGGUCUCUCUAUUAAAAAAAUAUAUUUUGAAAUGUUGAGAUUUUUUAACAAAAAAUUCUACAUGUACAU